rnacentral:rRNA from 1 species
GACGAACCGUGCAAACGUUGUUCGGAAUCACUGGGCUUAAAGGGCGCGUAGGCGGGCCAGCCAGUCUGUGGUGAAAGCCUCCAGCUUAACUGGAGAAGUGCCGUGGAUACUGCUGGCCUCGAGGAGGGUAGGGGCAUCUGGAACACUGGGUGGAGCGGUGAAAUGCGUUGAUAUCCAGUGGAACUCCGGUGGCGAAGGCGAGGUGCUGGACCCUUCUGACGCUGAGGCGCGAAAGCCAGGGGAGCGAACGGG